rnacentral:rRNA from 1 species
GACGAACGCUGGCGGCGUGCCUAAUACAUGCAAGUAGAACGCUGAAGAGAGGAGCUUGCUCUUCUUGGAUGAGUUGCGAACGGGUGAGUAACGCGUAGGUAACCUGCCUUGUAGCGGGGGAUAACUAUUGGAAACGAUAGCUAAUACCGCAUAACAAUGGAUGACACAUGUCAUUUAUUUGAAAGGGGCAAUUGCUCCACUACAAGAUGGACCUGCGUUGUAUUAGCUAGUAGGUGAGGUAAUGGCUCACCUAGGCGACGAUCCAUAGCCGACCUGAGAGGGUGGUCGGCCACACUGGGACUGAGGCACGGCGCAGACUGCUAGGGGAGGCAGCAGUAGGGAAUCUUCAGCAAUGGGGGCAAUGCUGAACGGGCAACGCCGAGUGAGUGAAGAAGAUUUUCGGAUCGUAAAGCUCUGUUGUAAGUGAAGAACGGGUGUGAGAGUGGAAAGUUCACACUGUGACGGUAGCUUACCAGAAAGGGACGGCUAACUACGUG